ACGGCCAUACCAUGCUGAAAGCACCGGUUCUUGUCCGAUCACCGAAGUAAGGCAUCAUUGGGCACUGUCAGUACUUGUGAGGGUAACCACCUGAGAACAUCCCGUGCCGUUG